rnacentral:tRNA from 1 species
UCCCUGGUAGUCCAGGUUAGGACUCUGAGCUUCCACUGCAGGGGUACAGGUUCAAUUCCUGGUCGGGAAA